rnacentral:pre_miRNA from 1 species
CAAAUACUCCCUCCGUCCGGAAAUACUUGUCAUCAAAAUGGAUAAAAGGAAAUGUAUCUAGACGUAUUUUAGUUUUAGAUACAUCUCUUUUUAUCCAUUUUGAUGACAAGUAUUUUCGGACGGAGGGAGUACUUA